GUGCUCGCUUUGGCAGCACAUAUACUAAAAUUGGAAUGAUACAGAAAUUAGCAUGGCCCCUGCACAAGGAUGACAUGCAAAUUUGUGAAGAAUCACAAGAUAGA